AAAUGCGAUAAGUAAUGUGAAUUGCAGAAUUCAGUGAAUCAUCGAAUCUUUGUACGCACCUUGCGCUCCUUGGUAUUCCUUGGAGCAUGCCUGUUUGAGUAUCAUGAAAUCUUCAAAGUAAAUCUUUUGUUAACUCAAUUGGUUUCUACUUUGGUAUUGGAGGUCUUUGCAGCUUCACACCUGCUCCUCUUUGUUCAUUAGCUGGAUCUCAGUGUUAUGCUUGGUUCCACUCGGCGUGAUAAGUUAUCUAUCGCUGAGGACACUGUAAAAGGUGGCCAAGGUAAAUGCAGAUGAACCGCUUCUAAUAGUCCAUUGACUUGGACAAUACUUUUAUGAUCUGAUCUCAAAUCAGGUAUGACUACCCGCUGAACUUAAGC
rnacentral:misc_RNA from 1 species